AGAGUUUGAUGCCUGGCUCAGGAUGAACGCUAGCGGCAGGCUUAACACAUGCAAGUCGAGGGGUAUAGUAGCAAUACUAGAGACCGGCGCACGGGUGCGUAACGCGUAUGCAACCUACCUUUUACAGAGGGAUAGCCCAGAGAAAUUUGGAUUAAUACCUCAUAGUAUAUGUUUUUCGCAUGUUAGACAUAUUAAAGUUCCAACGGUAAAAGAUGGGCAUGCGUCCUAUUAGCUAGAUGUAAGGUAACGGCUUACCAUGGCAACGUAGGUAGGGGUCCUGAGAGGGAGAUCCCCCACACUGGUACUGAGACACGGACCAGACUCCUACGGGAGGCAGCAGUGAGGAAUAUUGGACAAUGGGCGCAAGCCUGAUCCAGCCAUGCCGCGUGCAGGAAGACGGUCCUAUGGAUUGUAAACUGCUUUUGUACGGGAAGAAACACUCCCUCGUGAGGGAGCUUGACGGUACCGUAAGAAUAAGGAUCGGCUAACUCCGUGCCAGCAGCCGCGGUAAUACGGAGGAUCCAAGCGUUAUCCGGAAUCAUUGGGUUUAAAGGGUCCGUAGGCGGUUUGUUAAGUCAGUGGUGAAAUCUGGUCGCUCAACGAUCAAACGGCCAUUGAUACUGACAGACUUGAAUUAUUGGGAAGUAACUAGAAUAUGUAGUGUAGCGGUGAAAUGCUUAGAUAUUACAUGGAAUACCAAUUGCGAAGGCAGGUUACUAUCAAUAUAUUGACGCUGAUGGACGAAAGCAUGGGGAGCGAACAGGAUUAGAUACCCUGGUAGUCCACGCCGUAAACGAUGGAUACUAGCUGUUGGGCACAAGUUCAGUGGCUAAGCGAAAGUGAUAAGUAUCCCAUCUGGGGAGUACGUUCGCAAGAUGAAACUCAAAGGAAUUGACGGGG
rnacentral:rRNA from 1 species